rnacentral:rRNA from 1 species
UACCGCAUACGUCCUACGGAGAAAGCAGGGGACCUUCGGGCCUUGCGCUAUCAGAUGAGCCCAGGUCGGAUUAGCUAGUAGGUGAGGUAAAGGCUCACCUAGGCGACGAUCCGUAGCUGGUCUGAGAGGAUGAUCAGCCACACUGGAACUGAGACACGGUCCAGACUCCUACGGGAGGCAGCAGUGGGGAAUAUUGGACAAUGGGCGAAAGCCUGAUCCAGCCAUGCCGCGUGUGUGAAGAAGGCCUUCGGGUUGUAAAGCACUUUAAGCGGGGAGGAAGGGCUUCUGGCUAAUAUCCAGGAGCAUUGACGUUACCCGCAGAAUAAGCACCGGCUAACUCUGUGCCAGCAGCCGCGGUAAUACAGAGGGUGCAAGCGUUAAUCGGAAUUACUGGGCGUAAAGCGCGCGUAGGCGGUUUGUUAAGUCGGAUGUGAAAUCCCCGGGCUCAACCUGGGCACUGCAUCCGAUACUGGCUGACUAGAGUGUGGGAG